UUGAUAGGAGCAAGAAACAAUGGAUUCCAC
rnacentral:piRNA from 1 species